UACGUAGGGGGCAAGCGUUGUCCGGAAUCAUUGGGCGUAAAGAGCGUGUAGGCGGCUUGGUAAGUCCGCUGUGAAAGUCCAGGGCUCAACCCUGGAAAGCCGGUGGAAACUGCCAAGCUUGAGUCCGGAAGAGGCGAGUGGAGUUCCUGGUGUAGCGGUGAAAUGCGCAGAUAUCAGGAGGAACACCGGUGGCGAAGGCGGGUCUCUGGGCAGUAACUGACGCUGAGGAGCGAAAGCGUGGGGAGCGAACAGG
rnacentral:rRNA from 1 species